rnacentral:misc_RNA from 1 species
CAAAAGGGAACUGCUGCUGGAACUCCUGAGUGGAGACAUGACAAUGUUGAGGUGACAUCUUCAGCUUCCGUGGGUCCUGAAUUUGGCAAUCCCUCUUCCUCGAUGCAGGCUCAGAAUGGCAAUAACUUUGAAUCAGGUGAUGCUGUUGAUGCCUCAUUUACUUUUUCUAAUGAUGAAGAUGAAGAUGAUCGGGCUACACAUGGAAGUGUGGGUUAUGAUGGUGAAGGAGAUGAAUCUGAGUCAAAGAGAAGGAAAAUUGAAACUUAUCCAACUGACAUGGGAGGAGCUACUAGAGCUAUUAGGGAGCCUAGAGUUGUUGU